UGAAGUGAUUAGUGCUGGUAUUUGUACAUAUUGUUGGAUGGCCAAACCUUUUCCUGUAACCUGACAAACUUUUUGCAUAGGACUGUACAUUUCUUAGAUGCUGAUAUAAAGAUGGAGGGUAAUGGCUACACAACAAAUGUUUAUAGAAAGGCUGCUUAUGCACCAAUUUUUAUACCUCAUUGGUCAUCUGAUCCAUUCAAAUAUAAAAUUGCUGCUUUUAAAUUCCUGUUAAAUAGAAUGAUAACACACUGUAGUGAUGAUAGCCUUAAAACUAUAGAAUAUAAUAGAAUAAAUUCACAUUCCAAACACUCAGCGCGGGCGAGCGGUGCAAUAAACUUC
rnacentral:lncRNA from 1 species